rnacentral:rRNA from 1 species
AUUGAACGCUGGCGGAAUGCUUUACACAUGCAAGUCGAACGGCAGCACGGGGGCGAACCCUCGUGGCGAGUGGCGAACGGGUGAGUAAUACAUCGGAACGUGCCCACGUCGUGGGGGAGUAACGUAGCGAAAGCUACGCUAAUACCGCAUACGAACUCUGGUUGAAAGACGGGGAGUCGCAAGACCUCGCGCGAUUGGAGCGGCCGAUGGCAGAUUAGGUAGUUGGUGGGGUAAAGGCCUACCAAGCCGACGAUCUGUAGCUGGUCUGAGAGGACGACCAGCCACACUGGGACUGAGACACGGCCAGACUCCUACGGGAGGCAGCAGUGGGGAAUUUUGGACAAUGGACGCAAGUCUGAUCCAGCCAUUCCGCGUGCA